UUUUUUUUUUUUUUUUUUUUUUUUUUUUUUGUCGUCUUCCUCUUGGGGCUGCACCGCCAGCCCCAGACAAAGCCGCUCACAGCAGGGCCAGCAGAGCAGUGCUUCCCCUUCCCUUCUCUGCCUGUGCCAAGGUCGUGCCUCGCCUCUUGCCAGGAGGAGCGUCCUGCCCACGACAGUGCCAGGCCUCAGCCCCCUGAGGCGGCCAUUCCGCCACCACUGCAGCGCUCUUUGCAAGCUGCGAGUUAUUUUGUGUUCUUGUUCUGCCAGGGGGCAGGCACACAGGUUCUGGAUAAUGCUGGGGCAGGACAAGCCUGCUUUAAGCCCCAAACCUGCCUCCUUUACUCGUCUCCUUUCAGGCCAGGCCUACCCUCUGGGCCCAGCAGCACGCAUCCUGCCAGACCCAGGACCCACAGGUUAGGCCCCGUGGUAAGAGGAAAGAGCCUCCAAAGUGUCUGUCCUAGGGUACAGAUGGGUGAGGCAGCCCCGUCACUGCACAAACACCCACAGGACACGUCACCAGAGCUGCUAUCAGCUUGGCAAUUAAGUACGUGGGAGAGGAGUCCACGGCACACAAGUAUUCACGUCUGCCCUGGACAAAGAAGUAAACAUUGGCUGUUUUUUUCCCAUUUAUAUAGCUAAAAGCACCGCUAACAGUUUAUUUCUUUGUGUCUAGCCUGUACUAAGUUUAAAGAAAAAAGCAGCUUCUGUUGAGGAGGUGGAAGAUGCUGUCAGCAGAAACACCGUGCCUGGAAUGUGAGCAGGGAAGACAGCGAUGCUGCAAAAUAAAGCUUUUACAACCUCUUCAUAUCAGUUGGCCUGGGCUCCAAGGGUCAGACACCCAGCUGGGAAGCUGUAGAUUGAAUUUCCUCGUUGAUAGCCUUGCCCAGCUCAAUCUUGUCAUCCUGACUUGGCUCCAGAGAAAGCGUCUUAUUAAAGGCACAGAGAAGCAACAGCUUCUCAACCAAAAACUAGGAGUUAAAGCAAUCCAGUGAAAAAACUGUGCUUGGGAACAAGGAUAUUUCAGAGGCUAGUUGCUUUUAUUUCUCAUUGUCACUCUUGUCUUGGCAAAGGGCCUCUACAGAGGCAAAAGAGUCUCAGCACUGAGGCAGGACAUAGCUCAAACACCAUCCCCAGAAGGUAGAGAUCAUAGCCUUGACUCACCCUAAAGGCAUCGCAGAAAGGGCACCAGGCCCUACUUGCACGCUCUGCCUUACUCAGAUGAGAAGCUCAGCCAUCCAUCCAGAACCAGGAGAAGAUGUGGGAUUGAUUUCACAAGCUGGUAGACACACUGAGGACGUCACAGUUACAUGUGGGCACAUUUUAUUCUCUGGAUGCACUUGCGCAUUGUUUCUGCUCAACAGCCAAAGCUUUAUUGAUUCAAAACCAUUUCCCGUCUCCCCCACCCCCAGCAUGUUUUAUUUAUUUAUUUAUUUUAAUUUUUGUAUAUGUACCCCCUUUCCCACCCCUCAACUGCUCGUCCACUUCUGAUUUGAGUAUUAUCUCUGCUUGGAGUCUGUUUUCUCAGAAGAAGCUAACUGAUAAUUCAUUCAAAAUUUUUUUUUCUCCCAAGAACCAUAUAAAUUACAUGCAAAACAUUGUACAUAGAGAUUAAUAUCAAAAUGCAAUACAGAUCAGGUGCACUUUAAGCUGGACUCUAGGAUAUGGCAAACACACCAGGGUACAUAUUGCUUUGAAACCACCAUUUUUUUAAUGUCAUGCAUACCACAUAAUAUUCAGCCUUUGUUUUGUAUUUUUCUGUUUUUAUACAAAAAUACCAGUGCUUAUUAUACUAGUUACUGGAAAAGAAAAAAAAAAAAAGAAUCAGAUCUGCGUGCCCUCUUCAAAUCAAAAUUUUUUUGUGAGAGCACUGGAUAAAUAUAUAUACACACACAAAUGUUGGUUUAAUACUGUAUAUAUAUAUAUAUAUAUAUAUAUUAAGGGGAGGAAAUAAACUAAAGGCAGUUUUAGCCAUGGGCUUCUUUGAAGGAAAAUUGAUUUUUAUUUUAUUUUUUUUCUGUUGAGCAGGAGGAUAUCAGAGACAGGCCAGAGAGACCAGCCAGCCUCAGUAGGGGACAGCCUUGGCAAAGAGAUGCUGGAGAGGAAUAGCUACGUGCCAAGAACCCUGCUGGCACUGCCCCCCAACCUCCCUGGCUGGGGCAGGAACAGAGGAGCAUCACCCCUCAUCACCGUGCACCGCUGCUUAGGAGAUUUGGGGCUGCAGGAGUGCAGUUUACAGGUUGCAUGCUCCGGGGGCUGAUGAACUUGUAGGAGCUGGACACAGUGGUGGGGAACAACUACUGGUGGGUACAAGCAUCCUUCCCCCUGAGAGGUACAGAAGCCUGCAGGGAUUAUUCUUUGAGGUCCCUGCAGUUAUGCAAGGGCUAUGGAGGGCAACAGGAGCUGGCAAAAGCAUUGUGGAGGUGUGCUUCUUGGAUUUGGGAUGGGGAUUUCCCAUUAACCCCAACAUCUUGUCACCACAAGAAGCAUUUCUACAGGGGCUCAGCACUACAGCUACCCCUUGGCCGGGGAAAGCCAAAGGCUGCCCAUGCUAAAAUGUGGUUUAGUUUUUUUCCUUCUUGAGAUUGUUUUAUUUUAUUUUUUUUUUAUUUUAAGCUUAUUGCACAAAACCUUUGAAAAUUAAGUAUAAUCCCUGUGCAAAUCAAAGAAAACCUAAUCACAGAAUGCAAAUGCCUAAAAAUGCCUGUUCAGCAAUGCACACAGGACAUGAUGUAAUGUCUUUGGUACUAACCUGCCAAUUUAUUUCACAGAAAACCACCACCACCAGAGACCCUACUGUUAUUAAGAACUGGAUGCAAAAUUAUGUUCAGAGUGUUUUAAUAACAAAGCAUUCCAAGGCAAGUUAACACAUAUCACAGGGUAUGACUUCGGUUCCUGUCUGGCAUGGCACUCUCCCCCGUGCACACUCGUGGCAGUUCAAACAAAGCAAAAAAUAAAAA